rnacentral:rRNA from 1 species
AUUGAACGCUGGCGGCAGGCCUAACACAUGCAAGUCGAACGAGUGGCGGACGGGUGAGUAAUGUAUGGGAAACUGCCUGAUGGAGGGGGAUAACUACUGGAAACGGUAGCUAAUAACGCAUACCAUCGGAUGUGCCCAGAUGGGAUUAGCUUGUAGGUGGGGUAAAGGCUCACCUAGGCGACGAUCCCUAGCUGGUCUGAGAGGAUGACCAGCCACACUGGAACUAGGACGAGGUCCAGACUCCUACGUGAGGCAGCAGUGGGAAUUAUUGCACAAGGGGCACAAGCCUGAUGCAGCCAUGCCGCGUGUAUGAAGAGGGCCUUCGGGUUGUAAAGUACUUUCAGCGGGGAGGCGUUACCCGCAGAAGAAGCACCGGCUAACUCCGUGCCAGCAGCCGCGGUAAUAC